UACGUAGGUGGCAAGCGUUGUCCGGAAUUACUGGGCGUAAAGAGCGCGUAGGCGGGAAUUUAAGUCAGGAGUGAAAACUGCCGGCUCAACCGGCAGCCUGCUCUUGAAACUGGAUUUCUUGAGGGUAUGAGAGGAAAGCGGAAUUCCCAGUGUAGCGGUGAAAUGCGUAGAUAUCGGGAGGAACACCUGUGGCGAAAGCGGCGCACUGGACCACAACUGACGCUGAGGCGCGAAAGCUAGGGGAGCAAACAGG
rnacentral:rRNA from 1 species